rnacentral:lncRNA from 10 species
GCUAUGACCCACUCAGGACCUAAUAGUUCCCUAAGAUUCCUUAUGUAUUUUGCACCAGACCUUAUAAACACCUCUCUCCCCGGCCCCACAAUUCCCUAGCACCUCCACAACUAGGAAUUUAGGCCUCCAGCACGUUCCCCCACCAUGACCCCCAAACCACUCCCUGCUCUUUCUUAUGAGGUCACCAUGAGCAUCCAGGGGCCCCAAGGACCCAUCCCCAUCUCUUCUCAGAGUCUCCAGGGGACCCCCUUGUGUCAUACCCAACCGUUCUCUUACCUAUAGCCAGGACUUGAAGUGCUGUCAGCAGGAGGAACAUUUUAGGGGCUGAGGGCCAGGUCCUGUCAAAUGCAGAGAAAAAGUGAGAGAGAAGGAACCUUCAACAGAACCGGGGGCUGAGAGGCAGAGACAGCAAGGGGCACUUACCCAGAGCCCAAGACCCUCAGGGACAUGAAGACACAGCAGAGAGGUAGGGACCAGAGACGAGGGGGGCGGGGCCUGCAGGCUCUGCGGGCGGCAGGUGGGAGGAUGUGGAGCAGGGCACAGGUCCCUCCUUGAUGUCUUGAUGAAGGAAGGAGGGGAGGUGUCUCUCUUCCUAGUCACACUGGCAAAGCCUUUUAUCCCUGGUAAGGACAGCUGGCCCUGCCCCCACCUCCCGCCGCCCUGCUUCUGACAUUUUUUUUUUUUUAUUGCCUAGUUCCCAUUCCAGGACUCCCUGAUCCCAUCCCCUCCCUCCCCUGUCUGGCCAAAAAAGCAGCCACAAUUGUUCAUGAGAACCCGCCCAGGGAAGAUGCUAUAAUCUAGAAGGAAUCCUGGGAGGGGACCCCAGGGCAGGGUGGGCAGGGGAGGGUUCCCAGUUGCUGGAGGUGGUGGAUCUAGUGGUGGAGUCAGGAAACCAGGGUGGGGAGUGUCAGAGGAAAGGGCACGAAGGGGCUGAGAGAGGGAGGAAGAGAUGGACUGAGAGAGGGAGUCACGGGAGGAGGGAGAGAGGGAGAGAGAGAGAGAGAGAGAGAGAGACAGAGAGAGAUGGAGAGAGAGAAAGACAGAGAGACACACAGACAGAGAGAGACAGAGACAGGGUGACGGGGGGGAGAGAGAGAGAGAGAUGGAGAGAGAGACAGAGAGAGAGCCAGACAGAGAGACACAGAGAGAGAGAGAGAAAGAGAGAGACAGAGACAGAGUGACAGAGAGGGGGAGAGCAAGAGACAGAGAGAGACUGGGAAAAUGAAUGAGAAGAUAUGACAGUGGAGAGAGAGGAGUCCAGGAAUACGAGCACAGAGGCAGGUGUGCUCAUGAGAGAAGGAACUGAGGAGAGAGCUGGAGAAACCGGUGGAAGUUGGAUGUGACAGGGAACAGAAGAGGCAGACGGUGGGAAAAAAACAAGACAGAGGAAGAGGGAGACACAGAGACGCAGGGAGAGAGGGGUGUGGAGAAGUGGAGAUAGAAAAGCAAAAGACGGAGGGAAGAAGGUGGAGAUAGAAUGGAAACAGACACACAGAAAGAGAAAACAGUGGAGAGAGAGGAGAGAGGCCGAGACGCCCCCACCAUGCGGCACUCACCACAAACACACACAGAACAACAGCGAUGAUGAUGAAGGCAGUGCGGGCAUGAGACGUGGAAGAGAACGGGACAUGGUGGGAGAAAGAGGAUGGGACAGGCAGGCCGAUGGCAGAGGGGAGACGGGAAGGAUGGGCACCUACAGGGGAUGGGGACAAUGACAGAGGAGACGGAGGCCUAGAUGAGAGAUGGCAGCGCCAGGGAGAGAUGGAGAGGAGGGGUGGGAUAGAGGACGGGCAGGAGGUGGGCGGGAGAUACCUGGACCUGGAGCAGAGCUGCCCACCUUGCUUUCUCACUUUCGACUCCUGAGAGAUGGGGGAGCAGAGGCCCCAGCAGGGAGCAGGAAGGUUGGUGCCAGAACUGGCAUUCCCCAGCUUGGGAUCUGCUAGGUGCAGAGACAAAGUGAGAGCUGGAGAUGCAAAGAGAGAGUGACAGAGACCCAGAGAGGGGGACAGAGACCCAGAGGGAGAGGGAGAGAGACCCAGAAAGAGAAGGGGACAGAGAUUCAGAGACAGAAGGACAGUCUUAACAGACGGGGUUGGAAAUUCAAAAUAGGAGACGGCAGAGAGCAGGAGAGACAGAGUGAAUGAGAUGGGGAAGGAUUCUGGCCAGCCUGCAGGGGGGUUCUGGAGUUGGGGGGGUUCCAUCCUCAUUUGGGGGAGGGCCUACCCUCCUCAGCCCCUCCCCUAGCCCCUUAAAUUCCCCAGUGCUUGUGUCCGUCUCUGGGCCUGGGCAGCCCCGUACCUGGACCACGUGGUGACUCAGGAGGCUGCUUGCCUCCCUUGGCUACCCCAACUGUUCCCCGGCCUCAGCCUGACUCAGCCUCCCUCCACCUCGGCACCCCCCUAGGCUGGCUCUUUGAGCUGGAGCUUGGCCUGGGUCUGUCUGUACACCUGGGGACGCACUGUCUGGGCACCUGCAUCUGGAGCCACACACCCAUCUCUCCCCAGGUGCCUUUCUGUGAUUCCUGAACUGUUUCUGUUUAACUAUGGGCCUCCCUGCUUUGAGCUGAAGGCCUUGGGAAACAGCUGGAGAUGCAGCUGAUGAGGCCCAGUUCACCGCCGGUGGCUCCCAAGGACUUGCCGUCCCCAGCCCGGACCUCAGCACCUGCCGUGCCGUGGCCAGGUUGCUGGGCCCUCUUCCCACCACAUGCUAGGUUCCCAGGGUAUCUCGCUCACCACUCCACCACCUGCUUGGCACGGUCUUGUUUGCUGUGCCACGGGCAUCGAUAAACAUCUGAUGAAUGAAUGAACACAGAGCCUCAGUCGCUGCUCCUCUGUGAACUCACGGUCUGGUGAAACAGGCCAGCGGGGCAACAGGAAACUCCAUCUGGUGUCACGUGUGCUCCCCUGGAGGAGGCUGAGGGGCUGGAUGGAGCCUCAGGUGUGGGAAAGGGUUCCAGGAGGAGGGGCAGUCUUAGCAGGUUCCUGCAGAUGAAUAGGAGUUUGCCAGGGAGGAUGGACAGUGUGUGGAGAGGGUAGGAGGGAGGUGAGUGGUUUCGAGUAGGGAUGGUGGGGCAGGAGGAUGGUGAGAGAGCUCAGAGCGUAGGAGAGAGGAGUGGCCAAGAUGAGCAGGGCCCUGGUGCUGCAGGGGCGAGAAUUUUACUCCGAGGGUGAUGGGGGAUGGUGGCAUGAUCCUGAGUAGGGGAGAGCAGAAUCCUUCGGGAUACUCAGGUCUGGAGCUCAGGAGAGUGAUGGGGCAUCACGGCACGGAUGGUGCUGGAUACCAGCGGUGUGGAGCCCACCUAGGGAGAGGGUAUACAGUGAGAGGACCCCACUGAAGACUCACAGCUCAGGGGGUAAGAAACAGUUAUGCCAGGGGUAGGAGUGAUUGAAGAGCUAAGAGGGACACCAGGAGGGAGCAGUGUCAGGAAAGUUGAGAGCUUUUUUUUUUCUUUUUAAACAGGGUGUCACUCUGUUGCCCAGGCUGGAGUGCAGUGGUGCAAUCACAGCUCACUGCAGCCUUGAACUCCUGGGCUCAACCAUCCUCCCACCUCAGCCUCCUGAGUAGCUGGGACUACAGGCACGUGCUACCACAGUCAGUUAAUUUUUGUAUUUUUUUGUAGAGACAGGGUCUCACGAUGUAGCCCAGGUUGGUCUCCAACUCCAGGGCUGAAGUGAUUUGCCUGCCUUGGCCUCCCCAAGUGCUGGGAUUACAGGUGUGAGCCACUGCGCCCAGCCAGAGAGCAUUUUUUAAACGAGGGAGUGGCAGGGGCGGUCAGAUGCCUCUGGAAGGAAGAUAGGUGAUGGGUGAUUUUGGAGAGAAAGGUUUUUUGUGGUGUGGUAGGGGUGGAAGCUGGGCGGAGCAGAGGAGACCAUAGGUGCGGACAGCUCUUGGGUGUGAGGGGAGGAGAAGGGUGGUUGAUACUGAUGGCUGUUUAUAAGAAAGGAAAACCUGGAUGGCACUUGGAACAAAAACAAUCACUCACAUGUAUUCUGUGCUCAGCACAGCCAGGGACUGUGAUGAAACCUUGGUUGUUUUUUUUUUUUUUUGAGAUGAGUCUCAGUCUGUCACCCAGGCUGGAGUGCAGUGGCAGGAUCUCGGCUCACUGCAACUUCCGCCUCCCAGGUUAAAGCAAUUCUGUUGCCUCAGCCUUUUGAGUAGCUGGGACUAUGGGUGCCCACCACCAUGCCUGGCUAAUUUUUGCAUUUUUAGCAGAGACGGGGUUUCGCCAUGUUGGCCAGGCUGCUCUCAAACUCCUGACCUCAGGUGAUCCACCCGCCUC